rnacentral:rRNA from 1 species
UACGGGGGGGGCAAGCGUUGUUCGGAAUUACUGGGCGUAAAGGGCUCGUAGGCGGCCAACUAAGUCGGAUGUGAAAUCCCCAGGCUUAACCUGGGAACUGCAUCCGAUACUGGUUGGCUUGAAUCCGGGAGAGGGAUGCGGAAUUCCAGGUGUAGCGGUGAAAUGCGUAGAUAUCUGGAGGAACACCGGUGGCGAAGGCGGCAUCCUGGACCGGCAUUGACGCUGAGUGAGCGAAAGCCAGGGGAGCAAACAGG